rnacentral:rRNA from 1 species
CAGUAGCCGCGGUAAUACAUAGGUGGCAAGCGUUGUCCGGAAUUAUUGGGCGUAAAGGGCUCGCAGGCGGUUUCUUAAGUCUGAUGUGAAAGCCCCCGGCUCAACCGGGGAGGGUCAUUGGAAACUGGGAAACUUGAGUGCAGAAGAGGAGAGUGGAAUUCCACGUGUAGCGGUGAAAUGCGUAGAGAUGUGGAGGAACACCAGUGGCGAAGGCGACUCUCUGGUCUGUAACUGACGCUGAGGAGCGAAAGCGUGGGGAGCGAACAGGAUUAGAUACCCGCGUAGUCCCUGUCUCUUAUAC